CUUUUACUUUCUGAAGCCAAACGUUUACACUUCUGGGUGGCUGUACAGGGAGGACCAUGUGUAGUGUAAUAUUGUGCUGGUGCUGGGUGGUCAUGUGAUAUGAGGAUGGACCCUUUGUUUAGGGCGUCAGUGGGCACAGCCUUCCAAAUGCAGCUCAUGAUAUGCACAAAGCUUCGGCAAGAACAGUGGCAUCAAACUCACACUGCUCACUUGCACUGCCCAGCUCUGCAGGGUCAAAGGUCACAUCUAGGAUUCCAGAACAUUCUCUCAGGUAUUCAAAGUGUUCAGAGAGGCUUCAAAGAGCAGAGAGGACUCGGACAGUGCAAGGCUGUUCAUACGCGCUACUACUAUGAGACACUGCACAGUCACAUGCACAUUACAUCAUAUGGACGCUCUUGCUGGGUUACUGGACACACAGCCAUGGAUGAAAGCAAUGCAACUAGGAAUAAAAGCUGGAGGCAUCAAACACACUGAAAAAUCAGCGCUUGAAAGAGACAAGCUUCUGAAGAGACACAACUACCCAUUGUGAACUGGGUGAUGUUCUGAAGGAUGCCAACACACAUGGACACACACACACACACACACACACACACACACACGUGAUGAACUACAGGAACACACCCAAUGCUGUGAAUAUAACAGAAUGGAUUUUAAGUGGACUCUCAACACUUUUCAGUAAAAUGCCACUGCCAGCCCUUAAUAAUAUCUCAUGACUAUAAACCAGACCUGGCCCUGAUGUAGCGGAUCAGAGCCAGAACAGAGCCAGAACAGAGCCGGGUGUCCUCAUAAGGGGUGUGGUCGUCUGAAUGAGUCUGGGAGCUGUGUGCAAAUGCUCACACAAAUGGACACAUGGAAGACAUGAUGCCAAUGUGAAGAUUAGUCCACAGAGUGGGUGUCUGCAUGCUCAUCAACACACUCAGUGAAUUGUGUGUGCGUGCGUGCGUGCGUGCGUGAGUGAGUGUGUGUGUGUGUGUGUUUGUGUAUGUGUGUAUAUAUAUUUCUGUACAUGUGUGUUU